rnacentral:rRNA from 1 species
GACGAACGCUGGCGGCGUGCUUAAUACAUGCAAGUCGAGCGAGGUCCAUCUGGUGGCAACACCAGUGAAGGCCGAGCGGCGAACGGGUGAGUAACACGUGAGCAACCUGCCCCGAAGUCUGGAAUAACAUCGGGAAACCGGUGCUAAUACCGGAUCGCCCCACCUGACCGCAUGAUCGGGUGAGGAAAGAUUUUAUCGCUUCGGGAGGGGCUCGCGGCCUAUCAGCUAGUGGUGGGGUAACGGCCUACCAAGGCGUCGACGGGUAGCUGGUCUGAGAGGACGACCAGCCACACUGGGACUGAGACACGGCCCAGACUCC